rnacentral:rRNA from 1 species
UGGGGAAUAUUGCACAAUGGGCGAAAGCCUGAUGCAGCGACGCCGCGUGAGGGAUGACGGCCUUCGGGUUGUAAACCUCUUUCAGUAGGGACGAAGCGCAAGUGACGGUACCUGCAGAAGAAGCACCGGCUAACUACGUGCCAGCAGCCGCGGUAAUACGUAGGGUGCGAGCGUUGUCCGGAAUUACUGGGCGUAAAGAGCUCGUAGGCGGUUUGUCACGUCGUCUGUGAAAUCCUAGGGCUUAACCCUGGACGUGCAGGCGAUACGGGCUGACUUGAGUACUACAGGGGAGACUGGAAUUUCUGGUGUAGCGGUGGAAUGCACAGAUAUCAGGAAGAACACCGAUGGCGAAGGCAGGUCUCAGGGUAGUAACUGACGCUGAGGAGCGAAAGCAUGGGUAGCGAACAGG